AACUUCAAUUGUUUUCCCAUUCAACUGAUAAUUAAUAAUUAUCUAAUCAUUAAAUUGAAUAACCUUUUAGUUAUAAGUUAUAACUUAUAAAUGUACUGGACAUAAUACGGACAAUAGCUAAUGUAGGAAACGGUACUAUAAUUGGUGUACUAUUUGGUACAACCAGUUAUUUGUGUUACGAUGUGUUUUCUAAACUUGAACCGGGAUAUAAACAAGACAACUAUUUCAGCUUUUGUAUGACAAUGUUUGGUUUGGCCAUUGCGGGUGCAAUCUCUGAAAUAUAUUAUAUGCAUAAUCAGGAACAUUGGAAUCGGGUUCGGUAUGUCAAACACCCGGACGGUAGCAUUGAAAUCGUGGGGAGGAGG